UUGAUAGAUACCUGAACGACCUAGGAAAUGAUAGAACUUGGUAUAUGAAAUAACCUUUUGGAACUGUAGACUGUCAGUGCUGCCAAAUCAUAGAACUAUUGCGUUUUCAUCACACUUCUGAUGACGUUGUCAUAGUAUGAGGACCUUCACUACAAGCAAAAGUGCACAAGAGGCGAACAAAUUUUCGAAAUAUUUUUUUUCUUUCGAUGACUAGAGAUAAGAAUUGUAAGAGUCUUAUCGGUAAUUCUAUCAAUUGGAGAUAUAAAAAUAGAAUGAUAGAAAAAUAUAAUGUACUAGACAAAAUUGUGAAUGCUUAAAUUUGUGCUAAGAAAAACGUUUUUACUGAAGGAAAAGUAAUUCUGUGAUAGAUUAUAAAACCAAUUAUAUACUAUAGACCUCCAUGUUAUUGUCUGUGAUAUUUUCUCUCGUCAUUUUCGUCUGAUUUAGUUCGUUAUAGACCAUUUCAUUCAUAACUGUCAAGAGCUUUAGUGGGUUUUUUUUUAUCUUCGUAAUGGCUGCUGUACGGGAAUAAAAAUAUUAUAUAACUCUUUAGUCAGGGAGGUUAAAUGAUAGGAUCAAAGGGAAAUAACUCCAAGUGACUUGAUUUAGAUUUAAACGUACGAUUCUUUGUCUUGUACAGUAGUUAUGAGCCUGUGAUAUUUUGGAUAUAUUUAUACUAUCGUAAAUAUUUAUUGAAUAAAGUUUAGAUUAUUUUCC
rnacentral:misc_RNA from 1 species